rnacentral:lncRNA from 1 species
ACACGCACAGAAAAGAAAAAGAACAGAAGUGUCAAAAACGAGGAAAAAGCAAAGUGCCGCAUCUGAGAAGAUACGAAGCUUCUCUCUGGUUGGGCUGCAAUCCAGAAAGAAAAUAUGACGGGGAGCAAAGACAUAGCAAAAUUUGAGGAGAAAGAUCCAAGAUGGCGGUCUGGAAGGAACACCAACCCCAAUCAACCAGACAUGCAUGCAAGAAGCAGGCAUCCUAGAUGCAUUGACAAAUGUCAACAUUGGAGAAGUACACAUGCAACCUACGUCGUAGUUUUUCUGCAAGGUUGGAGGGCUCAAGAGUUAUAAGAAUCCCUCCCCCGCGCCGCAAUGACAUCUUUUCUACAUGACCGCCAAAAUCGCAAGUCUGUCGCUUUCGAAUAUCAGAACUGACUCGUGUACUUAUAUUGUCCAAAUUCCAUCACGAAUCACUCGUUUCAAAGCCUUUCUUGAUAUACUUUGCGUUCUUAUUAUUAAAACCCCUUAUCGACGGUCGAACCUUCCAAGGUUGCAGCCCUAUACCGACCUUGCCCUAAUCCUGGCCAUCUACCUAGUUAGCUACUCAGCUACCUACCUACUCAACCACCAAAUCCUCGCCUCGAUACAUACCUACCAAUCAAACUCUAUCAUGGAUUCACAUCAAAAUAUCAUAUGCCCCAUCCCCAGACGAGGCUAUCCAUACAACAACAUAACGACAGAUACACCACGCAAUUACGCUUUAGCGGUAUCUUCCCAAUCAGCUCAAUAUCCGCCGUCGCCGCCUCCUUAUCCGCCGAAUCCGCCUCCCAGUCCUGUUCUUGGUGUUGAUGGAUGGUCACAUUGUAGAAGCUAAUACGUCGAUGUGUAUGAAAUGCGGUAGAAUGAGAGGGAAAUUGGAGGGGAUUGAUUGAAUAAUACAUGGAUCAGAUUGAUAUGUCAAGUUUCACACUUGGUUAAGAUGGACAUUGGAAUUGUAUACCUGCCUACCUGCCUAGCUAGGUAUGAUACACCUUAGAUAAUAUGCGCAGAAGUCUUUCUUCCUCCCCCCUGGUUUACGCAAUGUUAUAGUUACCUAGUUUAAUUUUAUCUUUUAGUCACCAAUCAAUUCAUGCU